ACGAACGCUGGCGGCGUGCCUAACACAUGCAAGUCGCGGGAGAAAGUGACCUUCGGGUCGCGAGUAAACCGGCGCACGGGUGAGUAACACGUAGGUAACGUACCUUCGAACCUGGGAUAACCAGUCGAAAGAUUGGCUAAUACCGGAUACGACCGAGAGGACUUCGGCCCUCACGGUGAAAGGCGGCCUCUGCUUGCAAGCUGUCAUUCGAAGAGCGGCCUGCGCACCAUUAGCUAGUUGGUGAGGUAACGGCUCACCAAGGCUGAGAUGGUUAGCUGGUCUGAGAGGAUGGCCAGCCACACUGGGACUGAGACACGGCCCAGACUCCUACGGGAGGCAGCAGUGGGGAAUAUUGCGCAAUGGGCGAAAGCCUGACGCAGCGACGCCGCGUGGGUGAUGAAGGCCUUCGGGUCGUAAAGCCCUGUC
rnacentral:rRNA from 1 species